rnacentral:rRNA from 1 species
GACGGAGGUUGCAAGUGUUAUCCGGAAUCACUGGGCGUAAAGCGUCUGUAGGUGGUUUAAUAAGUCAACUGUUAAAUCUUGAGGCUCAACCUCAAAAUCGCAGUCGAAACUAUUAGGCUAGAGUAUAGUAGGGGUAAAGGGAAUUUCCAGUGGAGCGGUGAAAUGCGCAGAUAUCAGGAGGAACACCGGUGGCGAAGGCGGGUCUCUGGGCAACAACUGACGCUGAGGAGCGAAAGCGUGGGGAGCGAACAGG